rnacentral:rRNA from 1 species
UGGGGAAUAUUGGACAAUGGGCGGAAGCCUGAUCCAGCAACGCCGCGUGAGGGAUGACGGCCUUCGGGUUGUAAACCUCUUUCAGUACCGACGAAGCGAAAGUGACGGUAGGUACAGAAGAAGGACCGGCCAACUACGUGCCAGCAGCCGCGGUAAUACGUAGGGUCCGAGCGUUGUCCGGAAUUAUUGGGCGUAAAGGGCUCGUAGGCGGCUUGUCGCGUCGGGAGUGAAAAACAGCGGGCUUAACUCGUUGCUUGCUUUCGAUACGGGCAGACUAGAGGUAUGCAGGGGGAGAAUGGAAUUCCUGGUGUAGCGGGUGAAAAUGCACGAUAUCAGGAGGAACACCGGUGGCGAAGGCGGUUCUCUGGGCAUUACCUGACGCUGAGGAGCGAAAGUGUGGGGAGCGAACAGGAUUAGAUACCCUGGUAGUCCACACCGUAAAACGUUGGGCGCUAGGUGUGGGGUCCUUUCCACGGAUUCCGUGCCGUAGCUAACGCAUUAAGCGCCCCGCCUGGGGAGUACGGCCGCAAGGCUAAAAACUCAAAGGAAUUGACGGGGUCAU